UCGCUCACGAAAUUGCUGUCUCCGUCUUUUUGCUGUUGGGCCAGAUUAAAAAAAUUUCCAGCCCAUCUCAUUACCCGUUAACGAAGGCUGAAGCAUUCUCAUCCUCGCAGUUAUCCAAGACCUAUUACUGUAACAAUCAAAAGGCAUUCCAGCUCUUCAAUUCCCCUCAUAGGAGUAAUAUGCAUUUCAGAGGCUUUUCCCUCUUGACCCAUACCCAAAAGAGAAGCUGAAAUAACCCCGAUGAUAUCAUGGCAAAGAAUUUCUAGAUAUUCCGCAACGGCGCAGUCAUCAACGGCUCCGGCUAUUCUCUUUCUUAACGACAUUCUUCCCGGAGGCGAGCUGAAGAAGACCGAAUCUGGAAGUCCUCCUAAUUGGUCCUGAGAUACUGUUGAUAAGAAGAGGAAGAUAGAAGCUGAUGCUGAUGAUUCAUAGAAAAGAACGAUCAGAUUCGACGCUACAAGCUUUUCUCUCAGCUUGGGAGUUGGAAGCUGCUAUGGACUUUGUACGUCAUGAGAGCUCCAUUCUUCAUCAUGUACACAAGGUGGGUGGAAUUCCGUUAUUCAUGGGUUUAUCCCUGCUGCUCAUGCCAAUCAGUACGGUGCUUCUCUACGAACCGGUACGAUCUUCAAAGUUGAUCGGUUUGAAGUCGGGCAAUGCACCAAUAUAUACAAGAUUACGGAUUAUCCUUUUGUUAUUCGUUACAUCCCCACAACCACUGUUGAUGAAGUCCUCACCGCUGCCCCUGUCAUUAACCUUCAUAAGUUCAUGCUGAGAAAGUUCGACCACCUCCAAGCUUUCGCAAACACUAACUUAGAACUUCCGGCAUUGGUUCAUAUUUUGCUUCACAAGUCUACAAAAAACAAUCCCCUACAUUUAUAUACGCGUCUGAGAUUUUUUUUUAUUUUUUGUAGAUGUUGUAUGCCAAAUACGGUGUCCAAGGUUCCGCUCUUAACAACGUCACUGCAACUACUCCAGCUGUGGUCUGUUUUCUCAUUGACCCGUAACCUCUAUCUGAACUUCCCUCAUGACCAAGUUCUACGUUGACACCACCAUCCCCACCAUUGAAACAUUCACCGAGAGGUCCGUUUAGCAUUAAAAACAACACCUAGCUUGGCUGCAGCGAGAGAGGUUUUUACACGUGUUGAAACCAUGGGGCAUUAAAAAGAAAGAACGUGUGACAAUUGGUCAUCUUCAUACCUACAUGUCCAGCUCCAACAAGCAGCUCAAAUGGAAAGCAAGGAAGUUGUGGAGAUGGCUUGGGGGAUGUGUAAUAACCAACCUUUUCUAUGGGUCGUUCGACCAGCCUCGAUACUUGGAUCAGACGGGAUAGAGACAUUGCCAAAUGAAGUCAGUACAAUUGUCUCAGAAAGAAGAUAUAUUGUGAAACGUGACAGCAAAUAGAAGUACUAAGACAUCCUGCAAUGGGAGGCUUCUGGAGCCACUGUGGAUGAAACUCAACACUCAAGAGCAAUGUGAAAAAAUUUCCACUGAUUUGUAGGCCUUUCCAAAGAGAUAUCGUACAUAGUAAGUGUUUGGGAAACAGGGACUCAGCUGGAAGGUGAAGUUGAAAAAGGAAAGGUGAGAGAGCUGUGAAGAGGUUGAUUGUGAAUAAAGAAGGUGCAUAGAUGAAGAAAGCCUCUUUGGCAAGUGGAGGCUCCUCAUAUAAUUCUUUUGAUGAGUUCGAUAAAUACUUGAAAACAAAGUAAAGAUGCUGAACUUAAUGUAUUUAUUACUAAAGACCAUUGAUCAUAUUGAAUUAUAUGGAUCAAUAAAAUCCAGUGAGCACUAUUUUUCUUUGGAAAUAAAAAGCAGUACGCUCUUAUAUGUUUUUAGUUUCUGAAUACAAAUUUGUGAGUUUCUACGAAAUAAAUCCGCAGCAACAAUACAAAAAAAUAAUUACCCUCUCUCUGCAAUCACAUCACCGAUCUGAGUUCCCGACCAACUAUAUAAACAAAAAAAAUGUAACAUGUUAUAUUUAGCAUAUCACCCGGCGCUUGCGCGGGGGGCUCAGCCACUAGUAUAUUUAACAUGUUUAAAUAAUUCCCUAACAAAAACUUAAAUAUAUUUACAUAAGCUCCAAGAAGCUAUUCAUCAGAUUUCAUCGCCUCACAGUACCUUCAUGUUUGUUACAGGUGCAUCGAAUUGGGUCCGGCCUCCCGGGUAUGGAUCUCAGACUCAUCGGAUCGCUCAGCUCGUGGCCAAGUUUCCAUAGAGAGCACUGUCUCGCUUGACCAAUUUUUCUUAGGUAAAUCUUGGAUCUGUUGUUGGUAAUUUUUCAUUCAUACUUUUUUUUUUCUCUUAGCAAAAUCUAUUUUAUCGCCGUCUCAUUCCUUUGUAACACAAAAAAUGGAAGGCUUGAGGCGUUGUUUAACCUACGGGUACCGGAAGUCUCAGACAACAUGACUCACAUCAGUUGAUGACAUUCAGAAACUUACAAAGUACUUAACAUCGUGUAAAGUUUCGAUUUUUCGAUAUGGGUUUCAUCAGUUUGAUUACUACUGUAAUUUGAAGUUUUCAGUAUAGUAGUUUAACUUCAGAUUAGGAUAUUGUUUGCCUUCCACUUUUCAAGGGAAGUUGACUUAGGAUAUUUUAUCUCUUGAUUUAUUGCGGGAUUCAGCAGAGGCAGUGGCAACAGCAUAGAGUCUUUGUGCCUCGAGAUGAGACAAUGAGAAAUAAUAGCAUGAUACUCUCCUUUUCAAAAACCACCAUCAUGAGUUCGGGACUUCAUUAACACUUUACUUUUUUUUCUUUUAUUUUUCUAAUUUGUGGAGACACACCUGAUGACUUCUGAUUUGGUUAUGGUUCUGUAGGUUCAAAACCUAGAAUUUCACCAGUGUUCAAUAUCUAGCACGGAAUACAAUUAGAUUCUUUAAAGAUAUGAUUGAGUGGCUGUAGAGUGUACAAGAAACGCCUACAUUAUUGAAUAUGUAACAGGUAUUACUCAAUGUACGGACAUGUGGAGAAAUGUGAUUGAGUUUGGAUUUGAAAUGGAGAUCAAUUCAUCCAACGUUAACAGGUGUGGUGGAGUGUAACAGGUACCACUCAAUGUGCAAACAUUUGGAGAAACUAGCACAAGAGAUUAGGAAAGGUGCUGCUUCUGUUGAUGGUGUCGAUCCCAAACUCUGGCAGGUACUAGAGACGCUCCAAAAGAUCUGCUCUCUAAACUGAGUGCACCGCCAAAGAGUGAUGCUCCACUUAUCACCCCCAGCGACCUUGCCGAGGCUGAUGAAUUUGUCUUUGGCUUCCCAACAAGGUUCAGUAUGAUGGCUGGUCAGUUCUAGGCAUUCUUAGAUGCAACUGGUGGCCUCUGGAGGACUCAACAACUUGCUGGUAAGCCAGCCGGAAUCUUCUACAGCACCAGGUCUCAAGGUGGUGGUGAAGAAACCACUCCAUACGUUUCUUUUCCAAACUAACACUUCAUCAACGACACUUGCUUCGAUUUUAACGUUUUGGAUUGUUCACUUGUGUUGUCAUUGUUUCUAGGGGUUUCUAACACAUUUUUUUUUUUGUAAUCUUUGUAAGCAUGAGCCAAAAACUAUAUUUAGAACUAACUCUAUUUUUUAAAA